CGAAGACACUCUUGCAGUUUUCCAGACACUCACUAACAAGCUCUGUAUUGUUGCUUCAAAAGCUGUUUGCUAAAGCUGAAACCAUGAAGGCUCUGGUCUGCGUUCUUGUUCUGAUGCUUGUGUGCAGCACUACCGCUCAAGAUUUGUUUGUGGUGGUUUGUCUCUCGUUCUCUGUACAGUGCACUCCCUCCAGUGCUUCACCUGUGAGGGCGACGACUGCAAGGUCAGAACCGAAUGCCCCCCAUCUGCCAACUUCUGCAAGACAGAGGCCACCGCAAAUUUUUUGUCCCGCACAUGUGAGGAGUCCUGCACACCAGGGGAGAACGUCCACUGCUGCGAUCAGGACUUGUGCGGCUGAACAUCUCUUUGUCCAGUCUACAAAGAGCCUUGUUAUGCUUGAAGAAUCACUCAUCAGUUAUUAAUCAGCAUAUUUAAAAUGUAAACACUCAUCAGUAUAUAGAGAAAAUGUAAUAAGGCAUUAAAAAACUCAAUAAAAAAAUAAUAAAUCCAA
ensembl:lncRNA